UACCAGCACCCCGAGUGGUCGGGACGAUUAUUGGGCCUAAAGCAUCCGUAGCCGGUCAUGCAAGUCCUCCGUUAAAUCCAGCCGCUCAACGGUUGGGCUGCGGAGGAUACUACGUGGCUAGGAGGCGGGAGAGGCAAGCGGGUACUCAGUGGGUAGGGGUAAAAUCCUUUGAUCCAUUGAAGACCACCAGUGGCGAAGGCGGCUUGCCAGAACGCGCUCGACGGUGAGGGAUGAAAGCUGGGG
rnacentral:rRNA from 1 species